rnacentral:lncRNA from 1 species
AGACGUUCAGUUCGUUUCCCCUACAAAGGAAGAGGAGACCGGAGACGGGACGUUUGCUUUGUUGGCCGAACUCUUCGGCUGCUGGGGAUUUCCUUCAAACGCCAUUAACUUCUCACACUCAGCAGCCACUCGGGAGUUGGGAAACAAUCUCCUGGGGUUUGUGCUGGCGUGAUUAAGGAAAGAGGCCACUUACAGGCCUUUGUCUAAAGCCUCGCGCCGGUGGUGGCUGGGGUCAGGAAAGCUGGGAGGUUCAACUACGGGCGAGAAAAUUGGGGCACUUUCCACGUCUCUCCCGAAAAUAAAAGAAAGGAUGCCGGGCACGGCGGCUCACGCCUGUAAUCCCAGCACUUUGGGAGGCCGAGGCGGGCGGAUCACCUGAGGUCAGGAAUUCGACACCAGCCUGGGCAACACGGUAAAACCUCGUCUCUACUAAAAAUACAAAAAAUUAGCCGGGCGUGGUCGCGGGCGCCUGUAGUCCCAACUACUCGGGAGGCUGAGGCAGGAGAAUAGCUUGAACCCGGGAGGAGGAGGUUGUAGUGAGCCGAGAUCGUGCCACUACACUCCAGCCUGGGCGACAGAGUGAGACUCUGGCUCAAUAAAUAAAUAAAUAAAUAAGUAAAAUAGUUGAUGUUAUUUGAAGUGCAUGUGGCUAAAAAAGCCUUCUGGGUGAUUCUGAUGCACAAUCAACUUUGAGAUCCACUGCUGCUUUAUGCAAAUGUAAGCAAUAUACUGUUUAUUAAUGUUUCCUCCCGUUUCACCUAAUGGCAGCACUGUACUCCACGGUGUUCUGGACUUUGCUUUAUUCACUUAAUAUAUUCUGGAGACUUUUCCAUAGCUGUACAUAGAAAGUAUCCCCAUUAUUUUACGGAGUAUUCCAUUGCUUAUCCAGCUUGUCCCCUGAUGGACAAACUAUAUUGUUUCUGAUCUUUCACUAUUAAAAGCAGUACUGCAAUGAAAAUCUUUGAUCACAUCUCCUUUGUCACCUGCGUGGGUAUGUCAUUGUGGUUUAACUGCAUUUGCCACCAAGUAGAUGACAUAAUCACAUGGGCUGACUUUUUGACCCUCUUUUUGACUACCUCUUUUAAAUCGCUUUUUGCACAAAUCACAGCCUAAGUGACAGCAGAUAACAUUUUCUUCCCCUCUAGCACCACCUUCCCCAGGGUGCCUCCCUGGGGCUCACAUGUGUUCUCACAGUGCAGGCUGAAUUAGGAAAAGGAGCCUCUUCCUCAGGGUAGAGACAGCUUCCUCCCAGGCAGCAACUUGGAUUUCAGCGCUUCUCACCCUCUUUCCCUAGACUAGGAUUUGUUUCUUAAUCUCUGUGCUACUGACAUUCUAGGCCACAUAAGUCUUUGUUACAGGAGCCUGUCCUGUGUACUGUAGGAUAUUUAGUGGCAUCCCUGGCCUCUACCCAUUAGAUCCCAGUGGCACCCAGACACAAAGAUGUCGCCAGACAUUGUCAAAGGCACUGGGGUGUGGGUGCUGGGUAAACCAGCCCUGGUUGAGAGCCAGCUCUAGGCCCUUGUUUCCCACUGCUUCUUUGUCUGGCUCUGGAUGGUUAGGUCAUCAGUUGUUCACACAAGCACUGGCUCUGUGUCCCUCCCUAGCCAGCCCAGGGCUCAUCUUGGCUGGGCACUCAGGGCAACCUAUCCCAGUCCUUCCAACCUGAAGGUGCAAUAAGACACCUCGCAAGGAUGGAUGGGGCCUGGCCCAGGUUCUGUAAGGCAUCCCACCAGGGCCAGCCAUGCUUUGGGCUUUCUUGUUAUCCUGACUUACCAGAAUGGAGCAUUGGUCAAAGGCUUAAGCAGUGAACUGGCCAUUCCUUGGUCACUUCCAACUAGUCUAAACUCUUCUCCCUGCUCUCUGAUGCCUCCAGCCCAGCUAGCCGGAUUUCUCAUCCUCCCCAAACUUCUCCCUUUAUGCUGAAUCACCUGAGAUGGUUUAUGCCAAAUGCUCAGCACAGUGCCUGGCACACAGCAGAGGCCAGUCUGUUCUGACUCCCUGCCAUGCUUGGAAUGGCCCUUUCGUGCUCGAGGCAGAGGCCUGCCCACCUCUCCAGUCCUUCUUGUCCAUCCCAAAGAACCACAAGCUUGCCACUCCUCCCUCUUCUGACCACGUUGGAUAACUUCUGCUCACCUGAUCUCACUUUUCUGACCUGGUCAGCUGAACAUAUAGCACUUAAUUCAGCUAGUUUCACUCAGUUUCUGUCUGUCCACCUCUUUGUCUAGUCUUCCAAAUGGGUCAGUACGCUCCUGCCCUUCUGGGUCUCCUCCCAGGCACAGCCCCUGGUGGCUGUGCUAUUUCUUGCAGCAAAGGGUAGGCUGCAUGUGUAGGCUUUAGAGGCAGAAUGCCUGUUCUUGCUAGCUGGGUCACUGUCUACCAGAGUGAUUUGGGGUAAGAUACUUGAUCUCUUUGUGGCUUAGUCACCACAUCUGUGAAAUGGGGACACUCUGACUACCUCUCAGGGUGCUGAGAAGCAAAGGAUGAGGAAUCUACAGGGCGUGGCACUGAGUACUGUUCCAGAUCCACUGCUGUUUGAGCCAGAGGGGCCCUAGAAGGGAGGGAAAAGACAAGGGAGAGCCUGGGUGCUGGUUUGUGCCCCUCUUCUGGGGCUUUAAGAUCAGUCUAAUGAGUUGAAAUGGGAAAUGCUCUUCAGAAGCAUCAGCUACCAUCAAAGUUAUCCUUCCUCAGCCCAUGCUGUUGUGCUUGAUUUAAUCCAUUUGGUUCUCGAUUUGGAAACAAAAAGUAUUUUUUGGAGCUCCUUUCUGUCUGGGUUAAUCUUCCUUGGAAUGUGUGAAGCAAAGAAAGAGUAACUGAACACAGUAUGUAAAGAAGAAGGAGGGUGUCUGUGUGGGCUUGCAAUCAGUGAGGGCUCCCUGGACGGGGUGAGGCUCUAGCUGGAGCUUGAGGACAGCCAGGAUCAGAGAGAUGAGGAGGAGGAAGGAUAGUCCAGGUGACCAAGGAGACAGGUGAGCAAUGGAGUGCCAGAGUGCCAAAGCAACGGCCAACUUGUAAAUGACUGAGAGAAAGAGAUGUCAGUAUACUCAGGCACCUCUAAUGGGGUUCGCUUUAUUCAAUAGCUUUAAAGAAGAGCAGCAGAGAUCUACAACCAAUUCUUGGGGGCUCAAAUUGCUCCCAAGGCCACAAAGAAGAGCCAGACCAGUGGGAAACCACCCUGGCCUGUGUAUAGAGUGAGUUAGACAGGCACAAAGAACAAUUUUAUGUUGGGGAGGAGAGGAGACAGCCAAGGAUCUCCAGCGUGAGCUCCUGAGUGAGGGAAGCUCAGGGACACUGCAGGCCCUUCCUGUGAGGAUAGGAAGGAAAUAUGCCUUUUCAUUUUUCAGCUGAUCAGUCAACUCCACAGGAACAAACCAGAGCUCAGAAAAAUAUGUCCAUGGGCCGGGCAUGGUGGGUCACCCCUGUAAUCCCAGCACUUUGGGAGGCCGAGGUGGGCAGAUCACUUGAGUUCAGGAGUUUGAGACCAGCCUGGCCAAUAUGAUGAAACCCCGUCUUUACUAAAAAUACAAAAAUUAGGCAGGUGUGGUGGCACACACCUGUAGUUCCAGCUACUUGGGAGGCUGGACAGGAUAAUUGCUUGAACCUGGGAAGCUGAGAUUGUGGUGAGCCGAGAUUGUGCCAUUGCACUCCAGCCUGGGUAUCACAGUGAAACUCCAUCUCAAAAAAGAAAAAGAAAAAAGAAAAAUAGGUCCAUGAAAUGAUGCCUCAAUCGCCUGCCUUGUGAGGCGGGCAGUACUAUGCCUGUAUCACUGCAGAUCAAGCAGCUUGCCAGGGUCCCCAGUUGUUGGGGUGGCAGAGCUUCCCAAAGGCAAUGGGGUUGGAGGAGAGCCCUGAAACAGACCCUGAGGUUCUGUCCCCAGCCCCCAGAAGAUAUUUCUCUCAAGAUCCUGGGGUAGGGGGUGACUUGCAGUCUCAUCCCACCCUGUCUGCCAGGUCUGCCCCAUGCCAAGAGAUUCACUCCUAGCAGGGGAAAGGUGGCCUGAUACUUCUACAACUUAUAAGAAAAUAUUUCUCAUCUGGCUUCCCUGUCUCUCAGACCAUGUCCCUGCUUUUCUUCUCAAGGGCUCAUUGUUAUCUUGGAGACUUCUAAAAUCUUCCUUUUUCCUGUGUUCAAAUAUGUCUCCGGAGUUAUGCGAUGGAGAAUGACCCUGCUCAAAUCUCCGAGCCAUUACCAUGCCAUCUAUGAGGUUAAUGUCUGAAAGGAUGAGAGUGGCCCAACAAAGCUGCCUUCCUGUGUAGGGGAGUGAGAGAGCUUGUCAAGAGGCCACAGAGGCUAAGGGGCAUUGAGGUCUACUGAGGACACUCCUCUUUGAUGAGUUCAUGAAUAUUCAAACAUGCAAAUGACAUACCAUGUCUACAGGCCCCACAGUCUUCAACCCACUUUCAAGGGUGGCUGGUGGAUUUAUUUCUGUGUAGAAAAUGGUUCUGCAGUGUGGGUCAGCUACUUUCUAUCUGACCCUCUUCAUACAAUCACAUAUUUGUUUCUCAGAUUAUGACAUACAGUACAAGAGAUGGGUUUCUUUCUCUCCUUUUUUUGUUCUCUCUCUUUCUUAUUUUAUUAUAGGAAAUUUUGAACGUAUGUAAACUUAAAGAGAAUAGUAUAUUGAGCCACCAUGGAUUCAUUUCCUAGCUUCACCAAUUAUUAACCCAUAGCCAAUCUCAUUUCAUCUAUAUCACCACCUACUCCCCAAUUUUCAAAAUUAUUUUGAGGCAAAUACUGGAUAUCAUAUCAUCUGGGGACAUUUCAAAAAGUAUCUCUCAAAGAUAAGAACUCAUUUUUUAAAAGCUUAAAACAACAAGAACUUUUACAGUUCUGAAGGUCAGAAGUCUGAAAUGGGUCUCAUGGACUGAAAUCAAGGUGUUGGCAGAAUUGCAUUCCCUCUGGAGGCUCUAGGGAAAUAUCUCUUCCUUACCUUCUCUAGCUUUUAGAUGCUGCCUGCAUUUCCUUGCUUGUGGCCACUUCAUUCGGACUGUUGCUUCCUUCCUUACAUUUUCUUCUCUGACUCCCUUGCCUUUUGUAUAGAUACCUAUGUGAUUGCAUUAUGCCCACCCAGAUAAUCCAGGAUAACCUCUCCAUCUUAGAUCUUUAAUCACAUCUCCAGAGUCACUUUUGCCAUUAAAAAGGUAGCCAGCCUAUUUGAGAUUAAGAUAUGGACACUUUGGGAAAGCCAUUAUUCUGCCUACCAUAUCAAGGAAAAAAAAAUCUCAUUCCAGUAAUAAAAAUGUCAGUCAAUAUAAUAAGCAAGGCCUUAAUGUGAUCUCAACAUUCUUUCUGUCCCAAUUUAUGACUUUGGGCUAGAAAGCUAUAGGAAAUUAUUUUUCUGCAUUUUGCUUCUCUUAUGUUACCCA